rnacentral:lncRNA from 1 species
CUACGAAGCCGCCAUGUGGUCCCUGGAAGAGGACAUCAGCAGAAGGAAAAAAAAAAAAAAGCCUCUCAGUGCUGCUAUUUGGAUCUUGUGAGAUUUAUAAACUAUCUUCAGAAGUGUGGGCAACUUCAUGAAGCAGGAUCUCCCUGUUGGGAAGCUCAGCAGAGCCUCUGGGACGUGGCCUCAGGGACUGUCUCAAAGUCACUCUCCUGGAGGACUCCCAUGGUUCUUCUGCUCCCAGAUGUCUAAUUGCUUUCUUGGACUUUUUUUUUCUUCCUCUUCUAUUUUUUGGAAUAGGAAGCAUGUAGUCCAGGCUACCUUUGAACUCCUGAUCCUCCUGCCUUCACCUCCCAGACUAUGGGGUUACAGGUGUGAGCCAUCACACCCAGCUUUGAUGUCUCCCCGUUCCCUGUCAAGCAUCCUGAAUGAAGUCAGCAAUGGAGAUACUGACACAGGAAGAUUGUAAAUUCAAGGUCAGCCUGGGCUACAUAGAAAGUUCCAGACUGGUUUGGACUACGUAUAGAGGCGGU